UACGAAGGGGGCUAGCGUUGCUCGGAAUCACUGGGCGUAAAGCGCACGUAGGCGGACUCUUAAGUCGGUGGUGAAAUCCUGGAGCUCAACUCCAGAACUGCCUUUGAUACUGAAAGUCUUGAGUAUGGGAGAGGUGAGUGGAACUGCGAGUGUAGAGGUGAAAUUCGUAGAUAUUCGCAAGAACACCAGUGGCGAAGGCGGCUCACUGGCCCAUAACUGACGCUGAGGCACGAAAGCGUGGGGAGCAAACAGG
rnacentral:rRNA from 1 species